GAGAAAGGGAUUACAUUCGCGAUCGAGACCGCUACCGAGAUAGAAAUACUGAGCGGUCACGAGAUCGUGAUAGAGAAAGACCAAGAGAUUAUGAUCGUGGACACGACUCUGAUCGAGUAAGAGACCAUGCCUUUGACCGAGGUCGAGAUCUAGAGGAACACGAUCAAGAGCGCAUACGGGAACAUGAUCGGGAUUGGGAAAGGGACCGUGAUAUGGACUGGACCCGAGAUAGAGAGAUG
rnacentral:misc_RNA from 1 species